rnacentral:lncRNA from 1 species
AGUCACAAGACUCGCAACCAAUAGGCCCCUAUCCCCUUUAUACCCAAACGCUAAUUUUUUAUCCGAGAAUAGUAGUUCUUGAUUAUCUCCACCAAUACCUUCAAUUUUUAUAUAAAACUAUUUAUAAUUAUUCUUAUCUUCGGAAACAAUCCAAUUUUCAUUAAAACACUAUUUUUCUUAUUUCCAUACUUGUAUCUAUCCCUGUAAUGGCUAGUUCUAACUUUUAUCCGAACCAAACUGUUAGUAAAAAAAAAAAAGAAUAACAAAAAAUAAUU